ensembl:snRNA U6 U6 spliceosomal RNA
AUGCAAACUUCAGCAGCACAUAUACUAAAAUUGGUACAAUGCAGAGAAGAUUAGCAUGAUCCCUGCACAUGGAUGACAAACAAAUUCAUGAAGCUUUUCACAUUUUU